AUUGAACGCUGGCGGAAUGCUUUACACAUGCAAGUCGAACGGCAGCACGGGGCAACCUGGUGGCGAGUGGCGAACGGGUGAGUAAUACAUCGGAACGUGCCCAAUCGUGGGGGAUAACGUAGCGAAAGUUACGCUAAUACCGCAUACGAUCUACGGAUGAAAGCGGGGGAUCGCAAGACCUCGCGCGAGUGGAGCGGCCGAUGUCAGAUUAGGUAGUUGGUGGGGUAAAGGCUCACCAAGCCAACGAUCUGUAGCUGGUCUGAGAGGACGACCAGCCACACUGGAACUGAGACACGGUCCAGACUCCUACGGGAGGCAGCAGUGGGGAAUUUUGGACAAUGGGCGCAAGCCUGAUCCAGCCAUUCCGCGUGCAGGAUGAAGGCCUUCGGGUUGUAGACUGCUUUGUACGGAACGAAACGGCGGAGCUCUAAUACAGUUUGCUAAUGACGGUACCGUAAGAAUAAGCACCGGCUAACUACGUGCCAGCAGCCGCGGUAAU
rnacentral:rRNA from 1 species